rnacentral:rRNA from 1 species
UACGUAGGGGGCAAGCGUUGUCCGGAAUCAUUGGGCGUAAAGAGCGUGUAGGCGGUUCGGUAAGUCGGCUGUGAAAGUCCAGGGCUCAACCCUGGGAUGCCGGUCGAUACUGCCGGACUAGAGGUCGGAAGAGGCGAGUGGAAUUCCCGGUGUAGCGGUGAAAUGCGCAGAUAUCAGGAGGAACACCGGUGGCGAAGGCGGGUCUCUGGGCCGACAUUGACGCUGAGGAGCGAAAGCGUGGGGAGCGAACAGG